AUUGAACGCUGGCGGCGUGCUUAACACAUGCAAGUCGAUCGGUAACGCGGGGGCAACCCUGGCGACGAGAGGCGGACGGGUGAGGAACGCUUGGGAAUCUGCCUAUCAGCGGGGGGCAACACGGGGAAACUCGUGCUAAUACCGCAUACGCUCUACGGAGGAAAGCCGGGGACCGCAAGGCCUGGCACUGAUAGAUGAGCCCAAGCCGGAUUAGCUAGUUGGCGGGGUAACGGCCCACCAAGGCGACGAUCCGUAGCUGGUCUGCGCGGACGAUCAGCCACACUGGAACGGGGACACUGUCCAGACUCCUGCGGGAGGCAGCAGUGGGGAAUAGUGGACAAUGGGGGAAACCCUGUUCCAGCGACGCCGCGUGGGUGAAGAAGGCCUGCGGGUUGUAAAGCCCUUUCGGUAGGGACGAAAGCUCUCGACCUAACACGUCGGGAGGUUGACUUAACCUACAGAAGAAGCACCGGCUAACUCUGUGCCAGCAGCCGCCGUAAUAC
rnacentral:rRNA from 1 species